CUACAAUGGCAGGUACAAAGGGCAGCCACUUAGCGAUAAGGAGCGAAUCCCAUAAAAACCUGUCUCAGUCCGGAUUGGAGUCUGCAACUCGACUCCAUGAAGUUGGAAUCGCUAGUAAUCGCAGAUCAGCACGCUGCGGUGAAUACGUUCCCGGGCCUU
rnacentral:rRNA from 1 species